rnacentral:rRNA from 1 species
AUUGAACGCUGGCGGCAUGCCUUACACAUGCAAGUCGAACGGCAGCACGGGUGCUUGCACCUGGUGGCGAGUGGCGAACGGGUGAGUAAUACAUCGGAACGUACCUUAUCGUGGGGAUAACGCAGCGAAAGUUGCGCUAAUACCGCAUACGCCCUGAGGGGGAAAGCGGGGGGACCGUAAGGCCUCGCGCGAUUAGAGCGGCCGAUGUCUGAUUAGCUUGUUGGUGAGGUAAAAGCUCACCAAGGCGAUGAUCAGUAGCUGGUCUGAGAGGACGACCAGCCACACUGGGGACUGAGACACGGCCCAGAUCCUACGGGAGGCAGCAGUGGGGAAUUUUGGAC